GUAGGUGGCAAGCGUUGUCCGGAAUUAUUGGGCGUAAAGCGCGCGCAGGCGGUUCUUUAAGUCUGAUGUGAAAGCCCACGGCUCAACCGUGGAGGGUCAUUGGAAACUGGAGAACUUGAGUACAGAAGAGGAAGGCGGAAUUCCACGUGUAGCGGUGAAAUGCGUAGAGAUGUGGAGGAACACCAGUGGCGAAGGCGGCUUUCUGGUCUGUAACUGACGCUGAGGCGCGAAAGCGUGGGGAGCAAACAGGGAUUAGAUACCCUGGUAGUCCACGCCGUAAACGAUGAGUGCUAAGUGUUAGGGGGGUUUCCGCCCCCUUAGUGCUGCAGCUAACGCAUUAAGCACUCCGCCCUGGGGAGUACGGCCGCAAGGCUG
rnacentral:rRNA from 1 species